rnacentral:rRNA from 1 species
AUUGAACGCUGGCGGCAGGCCUAACACAUGCAAGUCGAACGGUAACAGAAAGUAGCUUGCUACUUUGCUGACGAGUGGCGGACGGGUGAGUAAUGUCUGGGGAUCUGCCUGAUGGAGGGGGAUAACUACUGGAAACGGUAGCUAAUACCGCAUAAUGUCGCAAGACCAAAGCGGGGGACUUUCGGGCCUCGCACCAUCAGAUGAACCCAGAUGGGAUUAGCUAGUAGGUAGGGUAAUGGCUUACCUAGGCGACGAUCCCUAGCUGGUCUGAGAGGAUGACCAGCCACACUGGAACUGAGAUACGGUCCAGACUCCUACGGAAGGCAGCAGUGGGGAAUAUUGCACAAUGGGCGCAAGCCUGAUGCAGCCAUGCCGCGUGUAUGAAGAAGGCCUUCGGGUUGUAAAGUACUUUCAGUCAGGAGGAAGGGUGUGAAAUUAAUACUUUCAUGCAUUGACGUUACUGACAGAAGAAGCACCGGCUAACUCCGUGCCAGCCGCCGCGGUAA